GCCGCCAUAGCUCAGUCGGUUAGAGCGUGGGUCUAAUAAGCCCAAGGUC
rnacentral:tRNA from 1 species